GAUGAACGCUGGCGGCGUGCCUAAUACAUGCAAGUCGAGCGAACGGACGAGAAGCUUGCUUCUCUGAUGUUAGCGGCGGACGGGUGAGUAACACGUGGAUAACCUACCUAUAAGACUGGUAAACUUCGGGAAACCGGGGCUAAUACUGGAAUAUAUUUUUAACCCCCUGGGUCAAAAGGGAAAAACCGGCUUUCUGUUACUUAUUGGUGGAUCCGCGCUGCAUUAGCUAGUUGGUAAGGUAACGGCUUACCAAGGCAAAGAUGCAUAGCCGAACUGAGAGGGUGAUCGGCCACACUGGAACUGAGACACGGUCCAGACUCCUACGGGAGGCAGCAGUAGGGAAUCUUCCGCAAAGGGCGAAAGCCUGACGGAGCAACGCCGCGUGAGUGAUGAAGGUCUUCGGAUCGUAAAACUCUGUUAUUAGGGAAGAACAUAUGUGUAAGUAACUGUGCACAUCUUGACGGUACCUAAUCAGAAAGCCACGGCUAACUACGUG
rnacentral:rRNA from 1 species